CGAGUAUGGGCUGGGUGCACAAGCAGUGGAGGGGUGAGAAGCCCAGCUCUGUGCGCAGUUGCUCCACUGUCACACCGAGAAGUUGUGGGCCGUGGACCGCAACAUUAAAGGUGAUGGCGAGUUGUGGGUGAGUUUGAUGUGAUGCCAUUACCGGCCUUUUCGGCUCUCUCCCCCUUCCCAAGACCCUGCUUCCCACCUUUCUUGAACUGGAACCAAACCCUGGCGUGUACCCCCGCCUCCCGUAACGGAGAGGCUCGGGUUCGACCCCUUGUCAGCCACCGGCGCAAUAGGGGUGGUGAACGCGUCUGCCCAGAAUCUCAGCCUCACCAGCUUCGCCUGCUGCUCCGCCGGCGACCUUCGGAGGUUCUUGAAUCCCGGACCGAGCCACGUUGUCGCAUUGGCCAGUGGGGGUUUGUAGAAGAAGGAUUCCGAUGUUAUGGCGUAGAAGAUUGAACUAAACGGUGAUUAUUGAAUGCGAUAAUACAUCUGCUUGAGCAUUCUCUUGUGUAUGUUCUGAUUUGUAGCAGCCUUCUCAUUUUCAGUCAUCUGCCCUUUUCCAUAGUUUGGGAUAUGAAUUCAAGUGCUAUCAUUGGGAACAGUUAUGCAACUAAAUCUUGGUGAUUUUACUACUAAUCAGGCUCAUGACUCUCAAAUAUCAUGGAGAAAAAUGAUAGUGGAGCUGAGCUAGAACGUGUGGACAAAAAUGCAGUUUCAUUUGCCUUGAACUGACAAAUAAGCAUGGAUGAUCUUGCUAAAUCUUUAGAUGAGGAGAGCAAUAAGACUUACUGUUGAUGACAUUUUGCAUGCCAUUAAAGAAACUGUCGCUGCAUUUGGUGUAUCCAUGGAUGAUCUUGAACAAUGCAGUUCAGUUUAUAAGUUAGCGUUGGCUACAAACAGGAGGUACCCUCCCCCAACAUGCCAUAUUUCCCAACCCAAACCGAGCACCAGGAUCACCUUCUACAUCUAUCCAUACUUGACCCUGCAAUGCACUGCUGACCAUAUUUGCCAUCAGGAUACUUGAACCCACAACUUCCUGCAUACGAGCUGGGCGUCAAACACAUGGGAUAUGCAAUGAUGCAUGUCGCAUUAUGCUGCUGAAUGCGGUUUUCAACAUGUUGUGUGUGAUUAGUGUAAUAAGGCAAGUGAAAACGGCCGCUUGUUCGCAUGGGAAGUCAUUAUACAAGAACCACCAUAUAUCAUGUGGGUAUUGUAGGCGUGCCUUUGCUCAGGUAGCAUUUAUCAUGCUUGUGAGGGCUGGAAAGCCAAUUCGAAACUUCAUGUUGUUGGAAUCCCGUAAAUUGAUCAAAUGAAAACUUCAUGUUCUCUCAUGCAUAA